CACAUACAUUUUACUAUUCUGAUUUUAGACCUGCUUACAAGCCCAAUACGACGUUGCCGUCCACUACAUCACGAGAGUGACGUAGUGAAGUAGUUUCAAGUUAUUUGAAUAACUCGAAAUUUCCGCACUCUUCAAAAUAAUACAACUCUUUUAAAAACUAAAUGCACUCUGGAUUGGUAAGGUAUACUACGCCCCGAGUAGACUUCUAGUUAGUUAAUGCUUGAUACUGUUGAUUUAGUAUAGUUUACUUUAUCCAAAAAGGUAACACAACAUUUUUAAGAGUUUGUGCAAAUUUUUAUCUGACAUGAAUUCUUUCAUUUUGAACACAAUUCCAGGCUUUAAUAUUCGUUUCUAACAUGUCGGAGGUCUUGAAGAAUCCGUUGAUUCUCGAGAAAAUAUUUGAGACGAUCAACAAGAUGAGCCUCAACGAUUUGAAAACGGCUCGUCUUGUGUGCCAUGAGUGGAACGAUAUAGGCAGCAAUCUAUUAGGAAGACGUGCCUAUCUCAUAGUCAACAAGAUGUUCCGCUACGACCGGUUAAACUUGCAUAAAUUAUCCCCCGUGACCGACAAAUUAACACGACGCCUCCUAAUCUUUGACGUUUUUCAACCAAACGUUCAAGAAGAAAAGACUGUCGACAUCUUUUUCCAAAUGAUAACCCAAAUCUUCUCCCAGGCUACCAACGAAAUCAAGUUGUACGUAACAAAAAAGGAAUUUGCAUACGGGUUUCUGCAAGGGAUAGCACUCCUUAAGAUCACAAACCUUCAACAUGUCUCCAUCGUAAUAUCGGCAGAGGCAAGAACCUUGAGCGAUGAAAAUCCGGUUCAGGAGUUUCCAAAACUUCCGAUUCAGGUUAAUUUGACCUCAAUCAAAUUCCAACCUAAUGAACAAAAUAAGGAAAUCGGCCUCCCCGCGUUUGACACCUUCUUGCAAGUAUUGAUCGAUUCGGCGCCCAAUUUGACAUCUUUGGAUAUAUCGGGAAUAGCCUGUCCGAAUUUGGAAAGCUGCAAGAACCUUAAGGUUCUGAAAUUUCGGUUCAGUAAGUCAUAUUAUGCUGAUCCUGGUAAAUUGAGCGUGACAACAAAGAUCCUACCGCAGGUUAAGGAUUCCUUAACCGAUAUGAUAUUUCGUUACUGUGGGAAUAAUUGUGUAGCUGUGGGACAGCACAAUCAACAUGCCUUUCCCGUCAUGUUACAAGUUUCAUCCAUCGAAAUUCUUGGCGUAGAUUUUCUUAAAAUCCAUAACCAUUUUGACGAGGCCCACCUCCCAAAUUUAAGAAAUCUCACCAUCAAAAAGAGAAAUUCAGGAGGGUGGAACUUGACCAGCCAUCUAUUUAAGUGGAACCGACACCGAGGAGUUCAAUCUCUCACCCUCGACGCCAGUUAUACGUCUGACUCGCAUAUCGAGUUCUCGAACACGAUUGUGCAAUUAUUCCCCUCCGUUAAGAAAUUUGAUUUAACGAUUUUUCUCGUUGGGGAUAAUUUAGCACAUGAGAUCAACCAGAUGAUGGCACCGUUCGAAAUGUGGGAUCUGGAUGAGGUACAUGUUGUUGCUAAAGGGGCUACGGAAUCUUCCCUGCUGGUUGAAGUCCUGAAAAAUAUUGCCAAUUGGACGGGCAUUAAACGUGCCCAGUUUGAGUUUAUUAACACCACAUACGAAGAAUUUUCAUCUGGCAUUCAAGAUCGCAUCUUUCACAGUAGAGGAUUUAAAAGCGUGCAAAUUUCUCGGAGUGAUUGGCCUAUGGAAUUACUGGUUCAGGAUGCGGAAUGUGUUCGAAAAUUAGUGAGAACUAUGUUUGACGAUAGGGUGGUCAGAAUGGGUAGAGAUGUGUCUACAAUUGACCCCAAAGUUGCAGGUAUCAUAACGAAAAAUUUACUGUAAUUUAUGUGGUUAACCAGUUUUAGGCCUUUUAGGAUGGCUUAUAGAUUUGUCAAGAUGCCUGUCUGUCCGUCCGUCUGUAGGCACGAUAACUCUCUAUAAACAAAAGCUAUCGAGUUGAAAUUUUGCAUGCUUCAUCUUUGGGUUAAAAGUAAGGAUGAGUUCAAAGAUAGGCAUGAUCGGUCAAGUGGUUGGCCGGUGGGGGUCAUUUCCACCCAAAUGUGUUGCCAUUAACUACCAAGAUGGUAUUAAUGCUAUCUUAAAAUGCCCCGCAAAGUUGCUUGGAGUAGGUUUUUAGUUUUAACUCGAUUCUUAAGAUUGAGGUACUUAAAUGAGGUACUUAAAAGAAAGCCAACUGUAAGAAAUUGUUUUUUUAUAAUUUCUUGAAUAAAUGCAUAAAAUAUGAGCUAAUUUGGGUACAAUACAAUAAAAUGUCAUUAAGCGUAGUGCAAAGCGUGGUCUGCGGAUGUGUUUCUUGGAUUUCUUGAACCUCGGAUGUCUUAAAAUGUCCUCCGCAUCAAAUUUACUUCACACUCUUUAGUGUCUCUAAUACCUAUGUAUAUGUACCACCCAUGUAAUUAUUUACGUGAAUGCAUCUAAAUAAAUAAUUGUUUUGAUAUAAGUGCAAAUUUUGUCUAUGGAUAAGUGACAAUAAUGAAAAACUAAAUCUGGGCAGACAAAAAAUUGAUUUAGAUGAGAUUCUCAGAAUUUACGGAGAUGAUUCCAACGCUACCUGCCUCACGUCUCUGGUCUGUCCCGUUACGAAGUUGGAUUAGGUGCAAGAUGAAAAUCGAAAUUUGUCUGAUUUUUACCUAACAGACGGGGCAAUAUUUAUGAAACUAAUUUUUUUCGUACUACAUUUUCAAGGGUUGUUUGAAAUACAUAAACAAGUUUCAUGAUUUUAAACUUUUUCACUUGAUUUUCACCAUUUUUCAAAUGACGCGAAACUGGAAAGAAUGUUAUCAUUGUUGGAUGUGUAAACUAAUGCUUUAAGCUACCUGAUAAUAAAGUUGACCAACAAUUUUGUUGAUUUCCAGUAAUGCAUUUGCGUCAGAGAUAAAGCCAAAAUAAAAUGAGUAGAGACAGAAUGGUAUACGAGUGUAUGUAAAUAUGUACGGUUUAUUGUGCGCAUUAUCUUCCCACAUAUGUGCGUUAGCAUUUCCAUCAAAUCGAUCCAGCUCGGCAUAUUUCAGUAAGUAACUCGAAAUUUCAACACUGUUAAGGUUCGUUUCCUUAAAGUAAAUUCACUCUGAAUUCCAUAUUUGACUGUGAUUAAAUAUUGCAUCAAUAUUUUGUUUAAUUCGAGGCUUGAAAGAUCGCCACAGCAAAUCUGACCGCUUAACAUGUUGAUCGCCUUAAAGAAUCCGGUGAUUCUCAACAAAAUUUUAGAACAUCUCAGCCUUCCCGACUUGAAAACAUCUCGUCUCGUAUGCCGUGAGUGGGACGAUGUCGGAGCCAGCUUAUUAGGAAAACGUGCCUAUCUCAUAAUCAACCAACUGUUCUGCUAUGACGGGUCAAACUUAAGCCAAAUGACCUGCGUGAACGAAAAGUUGAAACGCCGCCUCUUAAUCUUCGGUGUUUCUCAACCAUUCAUUCCUGGCGAUACGAGUGUCGAGGUCUUCACCCAAAUGAUAACCCAAAUCCCCCAAGUAACAAACGAAAUCAAGUUUCACGUUACCCAGAGGAAGUUUGCCGUCGCAUUCCUUGAGCGGAUGGCACUCCUUAAGCCCACAAACAUUCAGCACGUUUCCAUCUUCUUUUGUCCACACUUAAGAACCCUAACUGUUGAUCAUCUAGCUUCAGAGUAUCCACAACUUCUGGUUCAAGCUAAUUUGACGUCGAUCAAGUUCCAGCCUGGUCAACACCGUCUAGAAGACGGUCACCCCGUGUAUGAAACCUUCCUACAAGCUUUGAUCGAUUCGGCGCCAAAUUUGACUUCUUUGAAUGUUUUGGGAACAUUUUAUCCAAACUUGGAACGAUCAAAAAAACUGAACGUUCUGGAAUUUAAUUUGAGUCGGUGGCAUGCGGGAACUCCUAGUAAAUUGGAUUUGGCCGCUUUAACAAGGAUGUUAGCACAGGUUAAGGAUUCCUUGAUCCGCUUCAAAUUUCACUGCAGCGGGAGAAACAUUGUUACAGAGGAACGGAAUCUUUCCUUUCCCGUUUUGGCAAAACUUUCAUCCAUCGCCUUUCUUGACGUUAAUCUGCUCACAAUCCACGAUUGUUUUGGGGAAUAUUAUCUCCCAAAAUUACAAAACUUCACAAUUACCAAUAGGGGAGAGUGUAACUUGUUAACUGACAUCAAUCUGUGGAGGCCACACCGAGGAGUUAAAUCUCUCACCGUCGACGCUCGCAAUUGGCCCGACACGCACGAAGAGUUCUCAACAAUGAUUGUGCAAUUAUUUCCUGGCAUUAAGAAAUUCAAUUUCACCAUUUCGCUCAAUGCGGAAAAGUUACUAGAUAAAAUCAAAUCGAGGAUGUCACCGUUCGAAAUUUGGGAUCUGGAGGAAGUAACAGUUGUUGCUAAAAGAGCUAAAGAAACCACCUUGGUGGUGGAACUCCUAAAAAAUAUGGCGAAUUGGAAGGGUGUUAAACGUGUCCAUUUCAUAUUAGCUUGGACCAGAUACAAAGAUUUUUGUCCGUGGAUUCAAGAUUUAAUCUUUUACAGUAGGGGAUUUAGGAGCGUGCAAAUUUCUGUGAAUUAUAGUUCUCCAGUAGAACUAGUGCAGGAUCCGGAACGGGUGGAACAGCUCAUGAGACAUAUCUUUGAAAACGUGGCGGUUAAAAGUAAUGAGGUCGAGCUAAAUAAAUCCAGCGGAGUUUUGGAAAGACUGAAGGCAAGACUAAAGCAAUAUAAGGGUGCCGACCCCAACGAUGCGGGCAUCAUCAGGAAAGAAAUACCGUAAAUUAUGUGAUAUACCAAAGUUAGGUAGUGUUUAGAUAUGUACAUAUAUUUAAAAUAAUAAAUCGUGUGAUGACGGGGAUUGACGUAAAAAACAGAGAAAUUACUUUGGAAGACUUUUUCAUGGGAAAAUAAUUUAGUACGAUGGAAACCUUAGGCAUCCGGGUUUUUGGAGCAAAAUUUCCUGGGCGAUGUGUUGUUUUUCUAAGCGUAAGAUUUCGCCAAUUAAGUAAUUUUAGUACGUUUUUUUGCUAAUACGGGGUAAAAUGUAUGGCCUCAAAGUACGCAUUUUUUUGAUUGGCGGUACUUUACAUUAUCUAUACGUUAAAAUUGUUAAUAGACUAGUCUCCUUAUUACAUAAUGCUAGAUGUUAUACAUCCAUCCGCGCCGUAAUGAACACAUGCCACUGGAGUGAAUAAAUUGUUUCAUAAUAUUA